rnacentral:rRNA from 1 species
GGGGUGUGACUGCGUACCUUUUGUAUAAUGGGUCAGCGACUUAUAUUCUGUAGCAAGGUUAACCGAAUAGGGGAGCCGAAGGGAAACCGAGUCUUAACUGGGCGUUAAGUUGCAGGGUAUAGACCCGAAACCCGGUGAUCUAGCCAUGGGCAGGUUGAAGGUUGGGUAACACUAACUGGAGGACCGAACCGACUAAUGUUGAAAAAUUAGCGGAUGACUUGUGGCUGGGGGUGAAAGGCCAAUCAAACCGGGAGAUAGCUGGUUCUCCCCGAAAGCUAUUUAGGUAGCGCCUCGUGAAUUCAUCUUCGGGGGUAGAGCACUGUUUCGGCUAGGGGGUCAUCCCGACUUACCAACCCGAUGCAAACUGCGAAUACCGAAGAAUGUUAUCACGGGAGACACACGGCGGGUGCUAACGUCCGUCGUGAAGAGGGAAACAACCCAGACCGCCAGCUAAGGUCCCAAAGUCAUGGUUAAGUGGGAAACGAUGUGGGAAGGCACAGACAGCCAGGAUGUUGGCUUAGAAGCAGCCAUCAUUUAAAGAAAGCGUAAUAGCUCACUGGUCGAGUCGGCCUGCGCGGAAGAUGUAACGGGGCUAAACCAUGCACCGAAGCUGCGGCAGCGACACUAUGUGUUGUUGGGUAGGGGAGCGUUCUGUAAGCCGUUGAAGGUGUACUGUGAGGUAUGCUGGAGGUAUCAGAAGUGCGAAUGCUGACAUAAGUAACGAUAAUGCGGGUGAAAAACCCGCACGCCGGAAGACCAAGGGUUCCUGUCCAACGUUAAUCGGGGCAGGGUGAGUCGACCCCUAAGGCGAGGCCGAAAGGCGUAGUCGAUGGGAAACAGGUUAAUAUUCCUGUACUUGGUGUUACUGCGAAGGGGGGACGGAGAAGGCUAUGUUAGCCGGGCGACGGUUGUCCCGGUUUAAGCAUGUAGGCGGAGGUUCCAGGUAAAUCCGGUACCUUUUAACGCUGAGGUGUGAUGACGAGGCACUACGGUGCUGAAGUAACAAAUGCCCUGCUUCCAGGAAAAGCCUCUAAGCAUCAGGUAACACGAAAUCGUACCCCAAACCGACACAGGUGGUCAGGUAGAGAAUACCAAGGCGCUUGAGAGAACUCGGGUGAAGGAACUAGGCAAAAUGGUGCCGUAACUUCGGGAGAAGGCACGCUGAUAUGUAGGUGAAGUGAUUUACUCAUGGAGCUGAAAUCAGUCGAAGAUACCAGCUGGCUGCAACUGUUUAUUAAAAACACAGCACUGUGCAAACACGAAAGUGGACGUAUACGGUGUGACGCCUGCCCGGUGCCGGAAGGUUAAUUGAUGGGGUUAUCCGUAAGGAGAAGCUCUUGAUCGAAGCCCCGGUAAACGGCGGCCGUAACUAUAACGGUCCUAAGGUAGCGAAAUUCCUUGUCGGGUAAGUUCCGACCUGCACGAAUGGCGUAAUGAUGGCCAGGCUGUCUCCACCCGAGACUCAGUGAAAUUGAACUCGCUGUGAAGAUGCAGUGUACCCGCGGCAAGACGGAAAGACCCCGUGAACCUUUACUAUAGCUUGACACUGAACACUGGUCCUUGAUGUGUAGGAUAGGUGGGAGGCUUUGAAGUGUGGACGCCAGUCUGCAUGGAGCCAUCCUUGAAAUACCACCCUUUAAUGGCUGGUGUUCUAACGUAGACCCGUGAUCCGGGUUGCGGACAGUGUCUGGUGGGUAGUUUGACUGGGGCGGUCUCCUCCUAAAGAGUAACGGAGGAGCACGAAGGUUAGCUAAUCCUGGUCGGACAUCAGGAGGUUAGUGCAAAGGCAUAAGCUAGCUUGACUGCGAGAGUGACGGCUCGAGCAGGUGCGAAAGCAGGUCUUAGUGAUCCGGUGGUUCUGAAUGGAAGGGCCAUCGCUCAACGGAUAAAAGGUACUCCGGGGAUAACAGGCUGAUACCGCCCAAGAGUUCAUAUCGACGGCGGUGUUUGGCACCUCGAUGUCGGCUCAUCACAUCCUGGGGCUGAAGUAGGUCCCAAGGGUAUGGCUGUUCGCCAUUUAAAGUGGUACGCGAGCUGGGUUUAGAACGUCGUGAGACAGUUCGGUCCCUAUCUGCCGUGGGCGCUGGAGAAUUGAGGGGGGCUGCUCCUAGUACGAGAGGACCGGAGUGGACGCAUCACUGGUGUUCGGGUUGUCAUGCCAAUGGCAUUGCCCGGUAGCUAAAUGCGGAAGAGAUAAGUGCUGAAAGCAUCUAAGCACGAAACUUGCCCCGAGAUGAGUUCUCCCUGAC